GCCGGGCUCGGUGGCUCACGCCUGUAAUCCCAGUGGCUUGGGAGGCUGAGGCAGGAGGAUCAUGAGUUCAAAGCCAGCCUCAGAAAAAUUGGGGUGCUAAGCAACUCAGUGAGAAGCUGUCUCUA
rnacentral:sRNA from 1 species